CCCACACAUCCUGUCCUGCUCUACUGCUAAUACUACUCCAUGAGGCAGCACUAUGACUGUCCUCAGCUUGAAGACGGGGAAAUGUGGGCGCAGAUUGGCUAAGGGACGUGCUCUAAGUUACACAGCUCCCGAGUUUGUGAGCUGAGGAUAUUGCCGCCAUCAGUCAGUCCCCAUUCCAAGAUUGGGGGUCCAGAGAUGAAACUGCCGCCACCCUAAGGAUGCUGUCAGCCUUGGUGCUCUCCUGUGGCACAGAAAUGAAUCCACAGGAUGGACAACCGUGAUAUCCAAACAGAAACGAAACUCCUCAUAAGCACGUUUGAACACAGACUAAACAUGAACAUUCUCCAAACCACAAAAAGCCCCCGAUCCUGGCACCUGUGAGCGACUGUUCCUUCUGUAUCAACCUGCCUUAGCCUCUCUCUGUUCCUCUCACCUUCGAAAGGAAUUAAGAUGCCACAUCAUAGAAUUACCUUUGCUUCCUGACAGCGUCCAGCCCAGAGCCAAGCUCCCCUUGCUUGACCCUGACCCAGAUCUCCUAACACCCUCUCAGUCCAAAUCCUCCAAGUCCUUUCUGAUACCUCUACCCGAUGCCUCCGGGUUCCCUGUGGCGGGUAUUCUCCCGUUGCAACAAGUCAC